CUCUGCGCGCGCUGAAGCCCGGAUGAAAGGCACGCCGCUGUGGGAGGAGCAAGAACGGACCUGAGAGGGAACAACUUCCGGCGCCGAGCGCUACGCGCGGCGUCAGCCGUUUCCCGGAAACCUGCGGGAGCUGGCGGCCGGAUGUGUGCGGAAUCUUUGAAUUGUAAUCAUCGCGUUUGUGUGCCGCCCCUCGUUAAAGCUGAGCUCCUAGAGUGUAGGAACCGGUUCACUUCAGGGGACAUGGUGUGGAGAUGCCUUACAAGAAGAAAGAAAUCCAAGCUUGGAAUGAAAGCAGCAGAUUCACAUGAAGUCCCUAUGAAAUCUCUAUUAAUGGGCUGUGAAGAUCCAAAUCCUUUGACGAGUUGAGCAUGUUGUAGUCUGUAUACCAAGGUGCCGCUGGGAAAUUACAAGUUGUUUUCACGCUUCAGCCAGGGGAAUCAAUUCAGACUCCAGCAAAGAGCCAGCAGCGUCUUCUGACCAGAUGUUUGGUAACACAUCAUGAAUUUCUGCCCACAUCACAGCCUGACAACAUCGCAUUUGACAACAGCUGCAGAAAGUGGUUCCAGGAAGGCCAGUCACAAAGCACCACGCCAUUUUGAUUACUGAUCCUGCUCCCUUCUAGAAUAAGUUGCUGUCAGAAGCCCGGGAUGGCAGGAAGCUGGGAUGGGGUAGGUCCAUUGAUCACUGUGGAUUAUGCACUUGCUGUUAGCAGAGUAUUUGAGGGUUUUAAAUAGGGAAUAGAAGGUUUUAUCUUGAUAAAGGAAAACUGUAUAAUGUAUGUUUUGUUGUGCUGAGUAUUAUCAUUGGGAAAUCUCUCAGGAUUCUAAAGGGAGUAAUUGGAAUCAACUAUGGAGUUUUUUUUUUAAAACCUUAUUCUGGAAUCUAUUUGAAACUGGGAAACUUUUUAGGUCACUUGAUAAAUGAAUCAGAAUCAAACUCCUGAGCACAGUACUUGCUAACUCCACAACUGGAAGUCCAGUGAGCUCUAUUUUUAUCAUUUUAUUCAUCCAGAGUUGGAGGUUCACGGUGCAUUAACGCCAUCUUUACCUUGGAAGAGCUACUGAGACAACACUGGACUCCUAAAACCAGACCACUGCUCCAGCCACUGGCUACCUCCCACAGGGCACUCUUUUGCUCAUCAGAUGUAUUAACUCAGUUGCAUCAUUCUAGAAUGAUGUGCUGUGUAAUGUUCAGAUGAGCUAGGUGUCUGGAUUUAGUGUGACAGGGCAGGCAGGUCAGCACACGUCUGGAGCAGGAUUGUGAACAUACACUGUCACCUGUCCUGGGUGGACGUGAACUGCCUCAGGUGCUCUAUUCUGAAGGAUAUUGCACUUAAUAAGUGGUCCCAGAUCAAAAGCCACAUACAAUGAACUUGAGGUUCAGUUGGUUUGCUUUAGUGAAGAAGCCAAGCCCCAAACAACAGCUCUACCUAGGAUACUGUUUCCAUAAGUCCAGUAUGCUUAUCAUGAUUGUUUUUGUUGUUGCUGUUCAGAGACUAGAUUGGUGAAUUGGCUCAGUUGAGACUUUGGGGGGUGACAUUAACCUGCCACCCUAACUGGGACAUGGUACCCAUUGGUUCCAGGAACACUGGUGAUGGGAAGUUUCAGGGAUUUCUUCUUGCCCUUCAUGUGACAGUUCUUACUUUACCUGUCAAGGAAUCAAUGUGACUGUUCUGGAAAUUGUGAGGGUUCUGGGACCUGUCUAUCCCAAUUAUGCAUUCAGGAACCGAGAUGAUGACAGGUAGGUAGAUCCUAGGAUAUCCUGGCCCCACAAUGAGAUAAGCCGGGGUGGGAUUUUAUUAGUUACAUGACUUCCAUAUGCACUUAAUGUAACAGUGGGGCCAUGAUGGUGUUUUGGGUCUGUGAAUAUGGGUGACAAUUGCACUCUGUAUCCAGCAGUCUUAAUAGUCUAGAUAAUUUUAUUUCCUGAAUAUAUGAUUACCAAAGCAAAUGUCCACACAUUUCUUUGGGUGAAAGAAUGAUGGAAUUAAAACUGCACAUACUUGUUAUAUUGCAAGAUCCUUCUACAAGGAGGCAUAAUUUCUCUUUCCGUCAAUGGGUUUGGGUUUGAGAACUGGCUCACGUCUGGAAACUGGACAAUUGACCAUAACUUUCAUUAAGGUUGGCUUCAUCUUCUUUGGUUCUCUUUUUAGUAUCAAGUCUGUCUGUAUCAAGUCCUCAUUUGUCUUCCUUGUAGUAAUACUGUGAGGCAAGUCAGUGCCUCCUAACAGCUGUUUGAAUCUUUCUGUCAUCAUGAUGAUUCCUCCCUGCCUCUGGUGGUUAGAUGUAGUUAUCUGUUCUUUGCUACACUGGGAUCCUGUGACUUCCACUGGUAGUAGGGACCCAGUUCUGUGUCUCUAGCAACACCUUUCAUAGUUAGUCUUGGCCUACACUACUGAUCUUUUGAAUUGUUGGUGGCUCCCUCAUAUUCACACUUUCUGGGCUUGGUGUACACAGCAUCCUACAGCCUUCCCAAGAAUGUGGGAACUUGUGGAUUAUUGGAUGUUACGUAAUAGAUCCGUUCUGGCUGCUCCCUUCCUGAACCUUUCCUUACUUAGUAUUGAGGAAGAAGUCAGAUUCACUUUCUGCACAGACAUUUCUAUAUCUUCCUCAUUUAACAUGGAGUUCCAUUGUUUCCCCAAGAUUCUAAAUGGCCAUCUCCAGUAUGCAUUAAUGUUUGCUCUAAGCUCCCUGUCAGGGCAUUCAAUCUUGAGUCAUCAGGAAGCCCCCAUAUUAACAAAAUUCUGCCUGACCCAAUCUGUGUUCCAACCUCUUCACACUCCCUAUAGCCUAAUCCUCCCAGGAUUCAGUCCAAGUAUUCUCUCUCAGGCUAUGCCAGUACAUACUGGUUUUAUGGCUUCAUUAGAAUCUAAUAAUCUCUGUGUUUGGAAAUAAGGCUUUUACAGAUAUAAUGAAAGUGAAAUGAGGUCCUAUUAGAUUAGGAUAUUUAAUAACCCAAUGAUUAGUGGCUUUGUUGGAAUACGAAAUUUAAGCAGGUACAUAGAUGUGUGGUACAGAAGGCUCUGUGAGGUUGGGGCAGAGACUGUAGGGCUAUAUGUAAGGAUAAGCCAAGGAUCACCAAGCAUUGUUGCAACCUCCCAAAGCUAGAAGAGGCAAGAUUCUUCCCUAGAGUCUUUGAGGAAAGUAUGUCCUUGCUGAUUCAUUCAUUGUGAACUUCUUUAGGAUCCAGAACAGUGAGAGAACACAUUUCUAUUACAUUUAAAUCUUUGGGUUUCUAUUAUUUUCUAUUAUUUUGUUAUUAGAACUCUUAAGAAGCUAAUAAAGCAGCAGGAAAAGGAGAUAAGGACCAGUUUUUGGUGAGGGUGAGCAUUGUCCUGCCUGGUACCUGCCUCUGUAAAUGUUUCUGCAGAGACCGUAGACAACGGGGAGUAUACGCAAGCCACCCAGGUCUCUGGGAAAUCUGGCAGUGGGUGAAUUUGAGCACACCUCAUCCACUUGUUCCCAUCCCAGGUCUUAGUCUUUAUCUAUCAGUGCCCUGAUUUUGGUGUGAGCCAUGAAUUUAGCUUUCAGUGAAAUUAUCCUACUUUUCCAAUCAGAUAUUGUGCUUUGUCUUCUUCUCAGGCUGCCAUAUGACUCAACAAAACGUGUUUGAAAAUUUCUUCUCUAGGGGUCCAGAUGAUAAACAUUUCAGGCUUUGCUGCAGUUACUCAACUCUGUUGUUGUGCCUUGAAAGCAGCCACAGACUAUGUGUAAAUGAAUAAGUACGGUGAUGUUUUAAUAAAAUUUUAUUUACAAAAACAAUAGUGGAACAGAUUUGGCUCAGAAACUGGAGUUUGCUGACUCCAGCUCUGGGAGAUGAAGGCCUCUUUACAUGCCGCCAUGGAGCAUUUGUGAUGUUUAUAUGAUUAAGCUGGUAAUUAACUCCACUGAGCUUGUCAUUUUCUCUUUUUAACACAUCCGUAAUGUCCAGCCAAAGGCAAUCAGUUCCACAUUUGCCCCCAUAACCCUCAAUCAAGAAAGAUAAUGCACAAGCCAGGGCAACUCCUUCUAUUUCUGUGUGUGCAGAUUACAUAAGUGAAAAUCUUAGUAAUUGCAGCACUACAGCAUUCAAGGUACUGUUGUCCACCACUCAUCACCAGUGUUGGGGAGGAGGGCGGUCCAUAUCAGCAAAUGACCCAGUUCCUCAAUAGCAUCUUAGAUAUGUGAGUGUUUUGGUUUUGGUUGUAUUCCUAAGCAAACCUUGAAAAAAAGGUUCAUUCACAUGUGAGUUACUAAAGAAAUGCUGCUAGGGGAAACCAAUAAGAAUUCAGAGGAAGCGUGAAAAGGUGCAGCAGUAAGGGGUAUGGUUUCAUCCAAAUCCAAUACAGAUGAGGCUGAUUUUAUUGGUGUACCACCUGCGCUGUCACAUGGUGCCCCACUCUCAGAAGAGUCCUGUGCUUGGUGUAGUGCUCAGUUGCUGCUCUUAAAAAUCUUCGUAGCUUUGUCUUUGAGUUUGUGUUUUGGAAGUGAAGUUUGAUGAGACAGUGGCACAUGUGCGUGAGCAGAGGAGACAUGCACAGUUUGCAUGCUUGUUAUCCCUUGCCCAGCGUUCACAUUUCCAGUUGCCCAGCAGCACAGGAUUUUGAUGGGGGUGUAGCAGGACUCAAAGCAGAAGCAAAGUAAGUGCAUAUGCCUGAGUACAUGGGGAUUCCAACAGGCCUAAGAGGCCAUGCUUUCCUUUCAAAACAGAACUUGCUUGGAAUGCAGAAAAAUAUGUCUUAAGCACCCAGUGCCAAAAAUGUAAGGAUAAGUGAUACACAGAUAGAGUGAAAGAAACUUGGAAUUUAGGAAUGCUGUAGAUUCAUGACAAAGUAGUAGAGCCACAUAUAAUCAUGUAAAGUCAGCACCUCACAUCAAAUAAAGGAGAAGAAUUAAUGCCUGCCUUGUAAGAAGAUUGGAUGUGAAUAUGGUCUCAAAACAGAUUCAGGGAGAAAGACUCUAUGCAGAAAAAGUAGUCUUUUUUUCUCUGGGAAACUCGGAAGUAAGAAGAUGCACUGACAUUUGGAGCAGAAAGAAUAUAGAUGAGACUUCAGUGGUGCUGGAUUCCAUUAUGGACAUUACACACAUAAAUAUACACAAACCCAUACAUGUGCGCAUACACAUGUGCACGCUUUGUACCUUAGUAGAGAACAGGUUUGAAGUACUGGUAGAGGUUUAAGACUUUUAUCUACCUCUACAGAGUUUAAUAGUAUAUAUAUCCUUGCUUAUUGUAGUAUGUUGUGUUAAAAAUAUUAUGAAGUAAUAGAAGUUCAUAAAACCUACGUGUGCUGACUUUUAUGCAUGCUAGGAGGUGGUGUUUAUGUUCUAAAACUCCACAAGGAUGCUGCUCCCACCAGUUGGUUUUCCAAUUGUCAGUCAAGUUACAUAGCACAUAGUUCAUGGAUUGGGCUAAACCAAUGGCAAUUUAAGACUGUAAGUGUGUUCUUUGUAAUCUAUUUUGCUUGCUAUUUUUUACAUCUUUUAUUAUUAGCUCACAAAUAAAUAUAUUCUUAAGUACAUUUUGUUGUUAAGGAGGAUGAGAUACCAAAGAUUUUAUGUCAGUAAAACUUUUUGAUAAACCAGUCAUUCAAAGAUAAAUGUCACAGGAACUAACUGAUAGGUACAGUCUAAAAAAAAAAAAAGAUGAUCUCAAAGAAAGCAACUAUAUAAUGGAGGUUACCUGAGGCUGGGGAAGGAAGUGGGGAGGGAGGGGGAAAAGUUGUGUGACAGGUACUAGUAGUACCUAGAUAGGAGGAAGAUGUUCUGGGAUUCUGGAGCACAGUAGGAUGACUGUAGACAAUGUACUGGUAUUUCCUUAUAUAUAAAACAAAAUCUAGAAGGUAGGGUUUUGGAUGUUUUCUCUAUAAAAGAAAUAUUACACUUUUGAAAGGAUAAAAAUAUUUACCCUGAUUGGACAUUAUACAAUGCAUCCAUGUGAGAAAAUAUAUAUUGUCUCAUAAAUAUGUAUAAUUUUUAUGUCAAAAUUUUUAAAUACUUCAAAAAAGGAUUUUACACAAUGCAGAGAUAACAUUUUGGUAAUUGUUGUUUAAUUUUACUGCUUUGGAAGCAUUCUCUGAUUUAAAACAAGUGCUAAUGAUGCAGCAUUCUCCAAGCCUUCUCCAGUGACCAUGAGGAAGCCGAGUGCCUGUAUACAGUAAGUAUUAUUUAAAAUUCACUGAAGGCAUUCUCUGACUGAAUCAUCACGAAAACCCUAUGUAGCAGGAGUUAGCAUUCCGAAUUUUACUCUUCAUAAAUUAUAGGGAAUAUGUAGCUCAUAUAUAUUUAACUCAUUUUAUACUAUCUGAAUCUAGGAGAAUUUUUCUAACAAUUCAGUUUAAAUAAGUGUAAGAGGGAUAUUUUAGAUGUACAAUGACAUGCAAAUGCCAUCUUUACUGAUAACAAUGAUUUCAGGAAAUACUAUAAUGAGAAAUGUUAUAUUUUUCUUAUUUCACAAAUGAAGAAGCCAUGUAAUAUUGAGCACUGUCAAACAUUUAUAUGUUGACAGUGACAGUGAUGCUUCAGAAUAGUAUUUGCUCAUUAUAUCAUCUGAUAGUGAUAUAUUUUCCAAAAUAAUUAAUGACUGGCAUAUUAGAAUUCAGUAAAAUCGAUGGACAUUGGUGCUUACUCAGUGACACAGGAAGGGUGAUAGCGUUUCUCGCAGAGUCAAACAGAAUAAAAUGCUGUUUUUUUUUACUAAGGAGGUGGCUACCAACAGAACCAUCCUAGCUGAAACUUGAAAUAUUGAUGUAGAAUCUGUCAAUGUAGGAUAAAAUGAAAAUGACAAAGGUAUCAAUGAUUUUAUUUGUUUAGGGUGUUUACAAUUGUCAUUUGGAUUUUUAGAAUAGUCAGCCACUCAAUUAACCAGUCUGCUAAUACCAUAUAGAGACCACCAUAACUUAUACUAGUAUGUGAAUUCUGUGUGAAUCGAUUAAGGGGAGAGAAAGCAUGAAUCCUGUUUUCAAGAAUCUUAUACAAAACCCAUAAUUUAGCAGUCUCACUUUGAGAAAAUUAUCAUAUGAAAAAAUGUGAUAAAGUCUUCAUAAAUAGUUAACCUUAUUGCAGGGCUAAUACAAAAAUUUAAAAACCUGAAGAUAAACUGUCAAUGGAGCAUUGAUCAAACAUAUACAAUGGAGUACCAUGCGGUCCCUUAAUGGAAGGGAAGCAGUUCUCUUUGUGUUGAUAUUGGAACAUGUCCUUAAAGUAUUCUCAUGGGACAAGCAAUGUGUGAGUGUUUGUGAGAUCCUGUAUUUGGAGGCUACAGAAGGGUCAACAUGUGAGUGUAUGCAUGCACACAAGGAAAUAGCACUGAAUAAAAACAAUGUUAGAAAGUAUUGACGCCAAGCUGUCAAUCAUGGUAACUUCUAAACAUUGCAGCUGAAUGGACUGGGGGAAGAGGAAAAGGUGGAUUUCUCUUUUGCUACUUUAAUGUGUUAUAUGUUUUUACAUAGUGUGAUUUACGGUGAUUUUGAUUAGAUUACUUUUCAGUAUAUUUUAAAUUAAAAAC